CACGUAUCAAGUGCACGAUGUAAACCAGGCCAACGUAUGCAAAGGAUGGUAGAAGAUCACAAACCAAAACGGAUCCCGGCAUUCCCUUAAUGGCUCUUACAUACAAGACGCGGCAACGCUUGCCGCGCGGCGGAAGUUGCGCGACAGAUUGAUCGUUGUGAAGGAGGAAAAGAUUAAGAUAUUCCAAAGGCGCACCAUAUCCUCAUGAGGAAGUAGAUAAAUGCGGCUUCCGUUUCAUCGUGCACAGUAAUCGCGACAAUCGCGACAAAAACUGUAACGCGCUUCUGCUACGAAAGAGGUCGUCAAAAGGAGCGAAAAUGAGUUCAACUAAAUUCAACUACUUUUAUCAGUAAUAAAAUUAUAUACUCGGCGAGUAAGCCAAUUAGGUCUAUACAUAUCUAACGAAACCUUACGUUUAUUCGAGAGAUACACUGACAGGGCUGUAUUUAAAGUUGCGCGAACCCCUUUAAGAUUUCAUUUUUUUCAAAAGU